rnacentral:rRNA from 1 species
ACGCUGGCGGCAGGCUUAACACAUGCAAGUCGAACGGUAACAGGAAUUAGCUUGCUAAUUUGCUGACGAGUGGCGGACGGGUGAGUAAUGCUUGGGAAUCUGGCUUAUGGAGGGGGAUAACUACGGGAAACUGUAGCUAAUACCGCGUAAAAUCUUCGGAUUAAAGGGUGGGACUUUCGAGCCACCUGCCAUAAGAUGAGCCCAAGUGGGAUUAGGUAGUUGGUUAGGUAAAGGCUGACCAAGCCGACGAUCUCUAGCUGGUCUGAGAGGAUGACCAGCCACACUGGAACUGAGACACGGUCCAGACUCCUACGGGAGGCAGCAGUGGGGAAUAUUGCACAAUGGGGGGAACCCUGAUGCAGCCAUGCCGCGUGAAUGAAGAAGGCCUUCGGGUUGUAAAGUUCUUUCGGUGACGAGGAAGGUUGAUAGGUUAAUAGCCUAUCAAAUUGACGUUAAUCACAGAAGAAGCACCGGCUAACUCCGUGCCAGCAGCCGCGGUAAUACGGGGGGUGCGAGCGUUAAUCGGAAUAACUGGGCGUAAAGGGCACGCAGGCGGUGACUUAAGUGAGAUGUGAAAGCCCCGAGCUUAACUUGGGAAUUGCAUUUCAUACUGGGUCGCUAGAGUACUUUAGGGAGGGGUAGAAUUCCACGUGUAGCGGUGAAAUGCGUAGAGAUGUGGAGGAAUACCGAAGGCGAAGGCAGCCCCUGGGGAAUGUACUGACGCUCAUGUGCGAAAGCGUGGGGAGCAAACAGGAUUAGAUACCCUGGUAGUCCACGCUGUAAACGAUGUCGAUUUGGGGAUUGGGCUUUGAGCUUGGUGCCCGUAGCUAACGUGAUAAAUCGACCGCCUGGGGAGUACGGCCGCAAGGUUAAAACUCAAAUGAAUUGACGGGGGCCCGCACAAGCGGUGGAGCAUGU